CUUUCGGCUUUCGGCUUUCGGCGGCAGCCGGGUGUGAGGUUCCACGGGCAAAGCCAGCCAGAGGGUUGACAGAAAUAACUGGAUAAAUCUGUGCCCCUGCCCCUGCCGGCUCACACGGCUGCAGCCCACGGCUGGAGCCAAAAAUAACCGCGCAGUUGACGCCACGGUUUCUUUAGCGUCUUGCUGGAGACAUUGACUUUCAGAGCCCCUGUCCCGCCUUCCAUUCCCCACUACUUGGCAGCCCACCGCGUCCACCCGCGGAGCUGCGGAAGCCAGGGCCGGGCAAAGGACACUCUACGAGGCACAGCCUCCGGCAGGGCCACACUUACAAUGUAGACAGGAAAAUAGAGGAUUUAAAUUCAAAAAGUAAUACGAGCUCGAUUUUUUUAAAAACCGGAAGCAAAGAAGGAUCCCAGGAACAGCCACUGUUUUCAAUUCUGGGCGAGUCCUUCCAGGCGAUUUUUCCACGCUCUUAUAGACGAACAAAUAAAUAAAAGCAGAACUAUAUUUCAUAGGCUGUUUUGCAAUUUACCAUUUCAAAAAAAUUUAAUCUGCAGUGAUCAUCUUCUCUGCUGAACCAGUUCUUGCUGUCCCUUGACUGUAGAAUUAAGUAUUCCUUUAGUUGGGGAAAGCCUAAUUCCCCUAAAGACUGGAGGGACCUUGGGGUUGUUUUUCCUUAAUAUAAACACUGUGAAGUAAGCUCCGAAGGCAGGGUUCUUCUAGACCUUUGACUGUUUCUGUGGGAUAAGUUUCUAGCAGUGUAAUUACUGCUUCGAAAGAUUUACACACACAAUUUAAAUAUAUUUCAUUUACUGUAAUAGGUAAUUGUAAAAUAGAUAAUUAAUUCAUCAAAACAUCUUUUUUUCAGACAUCAGGAGAUGGGAGGUCUCACUAUUUUGGGUUUAAGCUGGACUCAAGUGCUCACAUAGCUGGGAUUACAGGUGGGAGCCACUGCACUUUUUAAAAAGUAUCCGGUGAAAAACCUCUCCCAUCCCUGUCCCCAUCACCCACUUCCCACCUGGUUCAAGGACUUUCUAAUAUGUCCUUCCAGAUAAUGUUUAUGCCUAUGGAAAUCAGUGCAGUUAUAUAACUUUUUUCUUCCAAUAUAUCUUGGGGUGUAAAUAACUUUUUGUUUGUUUUUUUUAUAGAUGCAUAAUAUUCCAUUUAAGUGGACUAGGUGGAUCAUAAUGUAUAUCAUAUAACCAGUACCCUAUUUGUGGACAUUUGGUUAUUUUCUUAUCUGUUGCUAUUAUAUGUAAUCCUGAAAUAAAUAAACUUGUUUCUUAGUCAUUUC
rnacentral:lncRNA from 1 species